rnacentral:rRNA from 1 species
AUUGAACGCUGGCGGCAGGCCUAACACAUGCAAGUCGAGCGGAUGAAGGGAGCUUGCUCCUGGAUUCAGCGGCGGACGGGUGAGUAAUGCCUAGGAAUCUGCCUGGUAGUGGGGGAUAACGUCCGGAAACGGGCGCUAAUACCGCAUACGUCCUGAGGGAGAAAGUGGGGGAUCUUCGGACCUCACGCUAUCAGAUGAGCCUAGGUCGGAUUAGCUAGUUGGUGGGGUAAAGGCCUACCAAGGCGACGAUCCGUAACUGGUCUGAGAGGAUGAUCAGUCACACUGGAACUGAGACACGGUCCAGACCCCUACGGGAGGCAGCAGUGGGGAAUAUUGGACAAAGGGCGAAAGCCUGAUCCAGCCAUGCCGCGUGUGUGAAGAAGGUCCUCGGAUUGUAAAGCACUUUAAGUUGGGAGGAAGGGCAGUAAGUUAAUACCUUGCUGUUUUGACGUUACCAACAGAAUAAGCACCGGCUAACUUCGUG